GACGAUAUAUUAUAUAAGAUAAAUACAGUCGGUUCAAGUCAUGCGAGUGCAAGUACAUCACAAGGAUUACAGCUGGGCUGCGUAUCCCUUCCUUUCUGAGACCACUCACAGAUUCAGUGGCAGCAGUGGGAUCGAAGGAGUCUUCCAUCAGCUUUGAGAACAACAAGAAACUCAGGUACUAGUUUGGCUUAGCUAAAAAUAACGAAACUGAACUAAUUAAUAAGAAGAACGGAAUCCUUAAGUUCCAAAGAGUUGAGCGAGUCACUUUCCAGCGCUAACGACA